rnacentral:rRNA from 1 species
CAAUAGCGUAUAUUAAAGUUGUUGCAGUUAAAAAGCUCGUAGUUGGAUUUGUGGCGUACGGUGUGUUCCGGGCACUUGUUGUCUGAGUAACCUGCUGUUGCCAUCCUUGGGUGGAACCUGUGUGGCAUUAGGUUGUCGUGCAGGGGAUGCCCAUCAUUUACUGUGAAAAAAUUAGAGUGUUCAAAGCAGGCUUAUGCCGUUGAAUAUAUUAGCAUGGAAUAAUGAGAUAGGACUUUUUUGCUAUUUUGUUGGUUUGCGCAAAGAGGUAAUGAUUAAUAGGGACAGUUGGGGGUAUUCGUAUUCCAUCGUCAGAGGUGAAAUUCUUGGAUUUUUGGAAGACGAACUACUGCGAAAGCAUUUACCAAGGAUGUUUUCAUUAA